UACCAGCACCCCGAGUGGUCGGGACGUUUAUUGGGCCUAAAGCAUCCGUAGCCGGUUCUACAAGUCUUCCGUUAAACCCAACUGCUUAACAGGUGGGCUGCGGAAGAUACUAUAGAGCUAGGAGGCGGGAGAGGCAAGCGGUACUCGAUGGGUAGGGGUAAAAUCCGUUGAUCCAUUGAAGACCACCAGUGGCGAAGGCGGCUUGCCAGAACGCGCUCGACGGUGAGGGAUGAAAGCUGGGGGAGCAAACCGG
rnacentral:rRNA from 1 species